UACGGAGGGUGCAAGCGUUGUUCGGAAUUACUGGGCGUAAAGCGCGUGUAGGCGGUUUCCUCAGUCUGGUGUGAAAGCCCGGGGCUCACCCCCGGAAGUGCAUCGGAUACUGGGAGACUAGAGUACCGGAGAGGAGGGUGGAAUUCCUGGUGUAGCGGUGAAAUGCGUAGAUAUCAGGAGGAGCACCGGUGGCGAAGGCGGGUCUCUGGGCCGAUACUGACGCUGAGGAGCGAAAGCGUGGGGAGCAAACAGG
rnacentral:rRNA from 1 species